CAGCAGCCACGGUAAUACGGAGGGUGCAAGCGUUAUCCGGAUUUAUUGGGUUUAAAGGGUCCGUAGGCGGAUCUGUAAGUCAGUGGUGAAAUCUCACAGCUUAACUGUGAAACUGCCAUUGAUACUGCAGGUCUUGAGUAAAUUUGAAGUGGCUGGAAUAAGUAGUGUAGCGGUGAAAUGCAUAGAUAUUACUUAGAACACCAAUUGCGAAGGCAGGUCACUAAGAUUUAACUGACGCUGAUGGACGAAAGCGUGGGGAGCGAACAGGAUUAGAGACCCCUGUAGUCCCUGUCUCUUAUAC
rnacentral:rRNA from 1 species